rnacentral:rRNA from 1 species
UACGUAGGGGGCAAGCGUUGUCCGGAUUUAUUGGGCGUAAAGGGCGCGUAGGCGGUUUCUUAAGUUUGGCGUGACAGUGGGUGGCUUAACUACCCAAGGCCUCUGAAAACUGGGGAACUUGAGGACCAGAGAGGGACAUAGAAUUCCGGGUGGAGUGGUGAAAUGCGUAGAUAUCCGGAGGAAUACCAAAGGCGAAGGCAGUGUCCUGGAGGGUGACUGACGCUGAGGCGCGAAAGCUAGGGGAGCGAACAGG